rnacentral:misc_RNA from 1 species
GAUGAAGAACGUAGCGAAAUGCGAUAAGUAAUGUGAAUUGCAGAAUUCAGUGAAUCAUCGAAUCUUUGAACGCACCUUGCGCCCUUUGGUAUUCCAAAGGGCAUGCCUGUUCGAGCGUCAUUUGUACCCUCAAGCUUUGCUUGGUGUUGGGCGUCUUGUCUCCAGUUCGCUGGAGACUCGCCUUAAAGUAAUUGGCAGCCGGCCUACUGGUUUCGGAGCGCAGCACAAGUCGCGCUCUCUUCCAGCCAAGGUCAGCAUCCACAAAGCCUUUUUUCAACUUUUGACCUCGGAUCAGGUAGGGAUACCCGCUGAACUUAAGCAUAUCAAUAAGCGGAGGA